rfam:Gossypium hirsutum cultivar TM-1 unplaced genomic scaffold scaffold1852.1, whole genome shotgun sequence
UAUUAAAAAUUUCAUCUAUUUGUAUUAUUAAAAACCGGCGUGGUUGAGGAAUAACCAGAUAGUGACAUAUGAAGUGCCACAUAUAUCUCAUGCUAACAUAGAUGGGCCAAUUUUUAUCAGUAGAAAUGGAUGAAAAUUUUAACU